UUUAAAAACGCUUUAAAAAUAUAUAUUCUAUUGGUUUUUCAAAUGUAUAAUUAAUAUCUUGUUUGCUGCAAAUAAAUGAAUACAAAAUCGAACUUAAAUAAAUAUAAAGACGAUAUCAAUUCCUUUUAAGUCUCGUAACAGGAAGUUUGUGAGGACAAAUUUCUUGAAUUUUUGAGACUAAUAACCGUCGAGAAAGUUCCCGCAUACUAAGAAGAUACCGCGCAUGGUAAUAAGUACCCCAUGAGAAUAUAAAACGGGUAAAGAAAUGCAGAACAGUGCAGACUGCAGUAGUUGCAGUGAAUUUUCGUAUUUUGCAUUCUUAGUAAACAGCUCGCAGACUUAUAGCCAGAUAAUAAGAGGCUAUAUGGUGUUAGCAAACAUAUUUUAAAGGCAUACAUUACUUUCAUUCGAGUGAGGCAAAGAAGGAUUAAAAAAUGGCUAUAACUAUUCACCGAAUCUUUUUGACGCUUCUAAUAUUUAUGAGUAUUUCUAUAUUUAUUAGUAUAUACGUAUGUGACGUU